AUCCAAGACGAGUUUCAGGACUAGGAAGUGAGCUGGUAACGUCUCUGCAGACCCCUCCCACCCUGAACACACCCUGUUUAAACUCCUCCCCUCUGGUGGAUGUCACAGAGCUCUGUACAUCAGAACAACCAGACACAGGAACAGUUUCUUUCCACAGUCCAUCACACUGA